GCUUGUAAACAGUUAAGAGUAAUUUUCACAGAACAAUUAAAAAGAAGUCAAGCAAUCUCGGGCUUGGUUAGUACUUGGAUGGGUGACCGCUUGGGAAUACCAAGUGUGAUAAGCA
rnacentral:rRNA from 1 species